rnacentral:rRNA from 1 species
AAUGUAAAUUUAGAAAAACUAAGGUAUUAAUAGUUAUAAUCUUUAAACUUAAAAAAUUUGGCGGUAUUUUAGUCUAUUCAGAGGAACCUGUUUUAUAAUCGAUAUUCCACGAUGUACCUUACUUAAAUUUAUUAAUUAGUUUGUAUACCGUCGUUAUAGAAGAUUUUAUAAGAAAAAUAAUUUUCAAUAAAUUAAAUAAAAUUUUAUACCAGAUCAAGGUGCAGCAUAUAUUUAAGAAAAUAAUGGGUUACAAUUAAAUAAUUAUUGGCUAUAAUUAUGAAAAAAUUAUUAAAAAUGGAUUUGAAAGUAAAAUUAUAUAGAUUAUUAAUUUGAUUUUAGCUCU